rnacentral:rRNA from 1 species
AAAUUGAAGAGUUUGAUCAUGGCUCAGAUUGAACGCUGGCGGCAGGCCUAACACAUGCAAGUCGAACGGUAACAGGAAGCAGCUUGCUGCUUUGCUGACGAGUGGCGGACGGGUGAGUAAUGUCUGGGAAACUGCCUGAUGGAGGGGGAUAACUACUGGAAACGGUGGCUAAUACCGCAUAACGUCGCAAGACCAAAGAGGGGGACCUUCGGGCCUCUUGCCAUCAGAUGUGCCCAGAUGGGAUUAGCUUGUUGGUGAGGUAACGGCUCACCAAGGCGACGAUCCCUAGCUGGUCUGAGAGGAUGACCAGCCACACUGGAACUGAGACACGGUCCAGACUCCUACGGGAGGCAGCAGUGGGGAAUAUUGCACAAUGGGCGCAAGCCUGAUGCAGCCAUGCCGCGUGUAUGAAGAAGGCCUUCGGGUUGUAAAGUACUUUCAGCGGGGAGGAAGGUGUUGCGGUUAAUAACCGCAGCAAUUGACGUUACCCGCAGAAGAAGCACCGGCUAACUCCGUGCCAGCAGCCGCGGUAAUACGGAGGGUGCAAGCGUUAAUCGGAAUUACUGGGCGUAAAGCGCACGC